GCUAUAAUUGUCAGCUAAGUGGCGCACGGGUGAGUAAUGUAUAGAUAACCUGCCCUUAAGAAAGGAAUAACAGUUGGAAACGACUGCUAAUGCCCUAUAUGCCUUUAAUACAUAAGUAUGCAAGGGAAACGCUUUAGUGCUUAAGGAUGGGUCUGUAUGGUAUCAGCUUGUUGGUGAGGUAAUGGCUCACCAAGGCUAUGACGCCUAACUGGUUUGAGAGGAUGAUCAGUCACACUGGAACUGAGACACGGUCCAGACUCCUACGGGAGGCAGCAGUGGGGAAUAUUGCACAAUGGACGAAAGUCUGAUGCAGCAACGCCGCGUGGAGGAUGACACAUUUCGGUGCGUAAACUCCUUUUAUAUAGGAAGAUAAUGACGGUACUAUAUGAAUAAGCACCGGCUAACUCCGUGCCAGCAGCCGCGGUAAUACGGAGGGUGCAAGCGUUACUCGGAAUCACUGGGCGUAAAGAGCGUGUAGGCGGGUAUAUAAGUCAGAAGUGAAAUCCAAUAGCUCAACUAUUGAACUGCUUUUGAAACUGUAUACCUAGAAUGUGGGAGAGGUAGAUGGAAUUUCUGGUGUAGGGGUAAAAUCCGUAGAGAUCAGAAGGAAUACCGAUUGGGAAGGCGAUCUACUGGAACAUUAUUGACGCUGAGACGCGAAAGCGUGGGGAGCAAACAGGAUUAGAUACCCUGGUAGUCCACGCCCUAAACGAUGUACACUAGUUGUUGUGAGGCUCGACCUUGCAGUAAUGCAGUUAACACAUUAAGUGUACCGCCUGGGGAGUACGGUCGCAAGAUUAA
rnacentral:rRNA from 1 species